CCAUUGGUUGACACUACGUGUGAACUAUUUGGAAUGAGAACAAUUUAAACACCUUAACGAGGAACAAAUGGAGGGCAAGUCUGGUGCCAGCAGCCGCGGUAAUUCCAGCUCCAUCAGUGUAUAUUAACGUUGUUGCGGUUAAAAAGCUCGUAGUUGGAUUUCGGAGUGCGAAGGUCAAGACCCAUCAAAUUGGUGUGGUCCGACAGUCGCCUCCUAGCUUAGGGUAACAGCCUUUCUUCCUUUACGGGUUGAGAUGUGCCGUUCCCUAUCUUUUACUUUGAUAAAAUCAGAGUGUUCAAAGCAGGCGUCACUUGCCUUGAAUGUUGCCGCAAGGGAUAAUAGAAUAUGACUUCGGUCUUAUUUUGUUGGUUUCUAGGGCUGAAGUAAUGACUAAUAGGGACAGUUGGGGGCGCUCGUAUUGAGUUGUCAGAGGUGAAAUUCUAGGAUUUACUCAAGACGAACUACUGCGAAAGCAUUCGCCAAGGAUGUUUUCAUUAAUCAAGAACGAAAGUUGGGGGAUCGAAGAUGAUCAGAUACCGUCGUAGUCUCAACCAUAAACUAUGUGGACCAACGAUCCGAGGAAGUUACAUGGAUGACUCUCCGGGCAGUUUGUGAGAAAUCAUAAGUAUUUGCAUUCCGGGGGGAGUAUGGUCGCAAGGCUGAAACUUAAAGGAAUUGACGGAAGGGCACCACCAGGAGUGGAACCUGCGGCUUAAUUUGACUCAACACGGGGAAACUUACCAGGUCCGGACACAGUUAGGAUUGACAGAUUGAGAGCUCUUUCUUGAUUCUGUGGGUGGUGGUGCAUGGCCGUUUUUAGUUGGUGGAGUGAUUUGUCUGGUUAAUUCCGUUAACGAACGAGACCUUAACCUAUUAAUUAGUUAUGCGAACUUGGGCUUCGGUCCUUUCGGUUCGUGGACAACUUCUUAGAGGGACUCUCGGCAUCUCUAGCCGAUGGAAGUUUGAGGCUAAAACAGGUCUGUGAUGCCCUUAGAUGUCCUGGGCCGCACGCGCGUUACACUGACGAAUGCAACGAGUUUUUCCUUCUCCGAUGGGAGUGGGUAAGCUUUUAAAAGUUCGUCGUGAUGGGGAUUGAACCUUGCAAUUAUUGUUCAUGAACGAGGAAUUCCUAGUAAGCGUAGUUCAUCAAACUGCGUUGAUUACGUCCCUGCCCUUUGUACACACCGCCCGUCGCUAGUACCGAUUGAAUGAUCCGGUGAGGAUUCAGGACGGCAGAGCUUUAGUUUGCCUGAAAGGGUAAGCGGGUUCAGCCGGAAUUUGUUCAAACCGUGUCAUUUAGAGGAACUAAA
rnacentral:rRNA from 1 species